ensembl:lncRNA
GUUCACAGACAAUCCUCAUUGUCAGAAUCCCCCAAAUACUCCAGAGUGGGCAGAACUGGAGAAGUCGUACAUGAGUCUACAUUUGUUUUAGACACAACCACUCGUGCCAGUUCUUCUUGUUUUUCUAUACUCCUUCAAACUGAAUAACUGAUCUACUUGUUUUGAGCCUGCAAUAGAGGGGCACAACACGUGGCUUGGGAAAAAAAACUCAUGUUCCACCCAGAUAGUUUUUCACAACAUUUCCUCUUUGCACCGGUGUCCCGCCUCUAGACCAACUUAGUUGUGAGAAAGUCUGUAUCUUUAGAGGAGGUAGCCAUAUGACUGUAUCAUUUAUUGAUAUUCUCCUAAUUAGUGAUUAACUGACGGUUCUUAGCAGGAUUGGGCUAAAUGCUGAAAUAAAAACCUGAGGUGAAGAACUAUCUUUCCCUGCAGUAGAAGUCCAUGUGAGAGGAGAGAGCUGUAUGAUACUAGAAGGACAAGACACCAAUAAGGGGCUCACAGCAGGUGGGCUUUUCUCCUAUCCAGAGCACCAACUGAAACAGACAGAAUGAACAGAGCACGAGGACUGUGUUUCACUUUACUACUACUGGGGUGUGUACAUGGGAGCAAGUCUCCUCAAAGAGAAGUGGUAUUCAGUAGAGGGAUCCAACUCUUUGUUGAAGGUUUGAACCCUUCUAAUCCCUCUGUAGUAAUCCUCUCCUCAUUUGGGCACAACCCUGGUGCUUCAGCUACACUGGUGUGUAUACUCAGUGGUUUAAAAACACACCAUUUGUUGGACAUCAUUUGGUGGAUCAACAACACAGUGGUAACCCCUGAGAACAAUGCCAUUUGGAGUUCCAGGGGAAGUGAUGGCACGUACACAACUACCGGACUGUGGACUAUGUCUGGAAAGGACUGGAAUCCCUAUAGUAACUAUGAGUGUGGAACCAGACAUGAAGGAAAGCAUUAUAGAAAUGGUACACAGCCCUCACUUUGCAUGGAUUUUACUUGAUUACAAAUAUUUGUUAACCUAUCAAAAAUUAUCCUUAGCAUUUCAUGUACAAUCUUUACUAUUAUUAAAGUAUUCAUGAUGUUUCUUGAGUAUUUUAUUGAAAGAUCAGGUAGCCUAGUGGUUAGAGCUUUGGAAUAGUAACUGAAAGGUUGCAAGUUCAAAUCCCUGAGUUGACAAGGUACAAAUCUGUUGUUCUUCCCCUUAAGACCCACUGUUCCUAGGUUGUCACUGAAAAUAAGAAUUUGUUCUUAUUAUCUGAUUUGCCUAGUUAAAGAAAAAAAUACAAAUAAAUAAAUACAGAUUAUCAUUCUAGUUGCCAUUACCAUAUGUUGACACUAGAUGGUGCUCACUGCCUGCAGUUGUAGUGUUUGUGUUGAGUGAUGGUAAAUUCAUAUGCAUGGCAUCUCUGUUUCACAAACUCACUGAUUUCAACUGAGACAAUGCUGCUCUUGUUCCUGGAUGUAUCUCUCAACAACAAGCUGUUAUACAAAUGGUCAUAUGCACAAAGCUGAAUACUCUUUAGUUUAUGUUCCAAACAACAAUUGUGUUUCUGUCAGCCCUUUAAAAAUAUUUUUGCAUAAUUUAUAAGUUCAUAAUAUCAUCAAUAAAAUAUACAAAUAAUGAACUAAUCUGCAUUGCACUUUCACAUACAAACUCACAACCACUUCUUUAUUUUGUCCUGGUCAUGCAUGCGUAUGCUUAUGUUCUUGGGGCCACUGGUUGCUGUCUGAUUCCUGUGAAGAAUUAACCAUAACAACCCAAUUGCCAUUAUCAGCCAAUGAAAUUGCUUUUGGAGCUCAGCUAACUGCUUGCUGUGUGAGUCAAUUCAGCAGAUUUGGGACACUUGUUGAAGAAACCUUGGAGAUAUGAGGAAUUUCUGAAUGGGAGAUGGGAUGGGAAAACGUUUACGUUGUGAGUGUGUGUCUGUGAGCUGUUUCCAAUUUGAAAGGCAACGUAUUUUGUCAGUACACCCAGAAAAAAAGUUAUAUCUAGAACCUCGGGUUCUUCGGCUGUCCCCAUAGGAUAACCCUUUGAAGAACCCUUUUUGGUUCCAGGUAGAAGAACCCUUUUGGGUUCCAUAAAGAACAAUUUUUACAGAGGGUUCUACAUGGAACCCAAAAUGGUUCUACCUGGAUCCAAAAAAGGUUAAUCUAUAGGGACAAUGAAGAACCCUUUUGGAACCCUUUUUUCUAAGAGUGUAUGUACCCCGUCUGAUUCAUCUCACUGCCAAGUGUAACCUGCUGUCUUCACAAUAACUUGAACGUGACCACUGCUUGGGGUACUAUCAUGGAAAAUGAACUCCAUACUCACUGGGCACAGAUGUCAACUCAACGUCUAUUCCAUGUUGGUUCAACCUUAUUUAAUUGAAAUUACGUGGCGACAACAUUAAUGCAACCAGUGUGUGCCCAGUGGGUAUCUGACUCCAAGUUAGUAAAUUCUAAUUGCAAAUCUAUGACACGCAUUUCAAGAUAUAGCAUGACGAGCAUGGAGAGACAAGUCAUUGAGUGAUCGACAGUACCAGUCAAAAGUUUGGACACACCUACUCAUUCAAGGGUUUUUCUUAAUGUUUUACUAGUUU